UCUUCCGUAGUAUAGUGGUUAGUAUGUGAGCUUGUCAUUGGCCGAGGCUUAGGCUGACGCCUGACAUCGCUCGAGACCCGGGUUCAAUUCCCGGCGGGAGAG
rfam:Thielavia terrestris NRRL 8126 chromosome 1, complete sequence.